GACGAACGCUGGCAGCGUGCCUAACACAUGCAAGUCGAGCGAUGAAAUUAGAAACGGAGUCUUCGGACGAAGUGGAAAAUGGAUUAGCGGCGGACGGGUGAGUAACGCGUGAGCAACCUGCCUAUCACAUCGGGAUAGCCUCGGGAAACUGGGAUUCAUACCGAAUGAAACAUAAUCACUGCCUAGUGGAAAUGUCAAAGAUUUAUCGGUGAUAGAUGGGCUCGCGUCUGAUUAGCUAGUUGGUGAGGUAAUGGCUCACCAAGGCGACGAUCAGUAGCCGGCCUGAGAGGGUGAACGGCCACAUUGGGACUGAGACACGGCCCAAACUCCUACGGGAGGCAGCAGUGGGGAAUAUUGCACAAUGGAGGGAACUCUGAUGCAGCGACGCCGCGUGAGCGAUGAAGGCUUUCGAGUCGUAAAGCUCUGUCGAAUGGGAAGAUAAUGACGGUACCAUUUGAGAAAGCCCCGGCUAACUACGUGCCAGCCGCCGCCGUAACAC
rnacentral:rRNA from 1 species